UGGGCCUGUAGCUCAGUUGGUUAGAGCAGUGGACUCAUAAUCCAUUGGUCGGAGGUUGAAACCCCCCGGGCCCACC
rnacentral:tRNA from 1 species